AAUAAAGCUUCUGUUAAGGAUGGGGGAAUGGUUAAUAGGCCUAGCCUAUGAUUUGACUCCACCCAAUCAAAGUAGGUCUGGAUCAGAGCCAGAAAGACAUGAGUCUAACCUGGCUGUCAAGACAAAUGCAUUACUUUUGUGGAACGGGUUUGAGUGAGUACAACCACUACAACGUCUUCCUGGAAUCAACAAAAAUCAAACCAAAUCAACAUAGGCUCAGGACGAUGACAAAACUUUGUUUCCUAUUCAGCUUUGUUUGUUUGAUGUGACUGGAUAAUUGAAAUUGAAGGAAAUAGCCUAAUGGAUGCAUUAUGAAAGAAUUAUAAAUUGUACACCAUGAAUGUGAAUCGUGAUGUCUCAGGACAGAGACUGAAUCACAAAAUCUCAUCAACUCAAUCAGCAUGUGUUGCUUCAAAGAUGCAAUAACCCUGAAUAGGUUUUUUCCCCAAGUGUUGUCAUUGUUGAUUCCAUAAAGACCAACAUAAACCAACAUUUAGAGCAAUAUGUAAGAAAUAAAUCUUGUCUGGUGUGACAAUUCAACAUUGUUUACUGAUUUGGUCAGUAUGGAUAAUUCAGUGGCACAUACACUGUAUGGUGAGCAUGCAAUGAGACUGCUAUUUACCUGACUUUGCUUGCAGUAACAACAGGAAAGGAGACUAUACCUUAUUCAUUUAAAGGGAAUGAAUCAUGGCUGAAUCAGUAACAAUACCAGAGGAUGCAAGUCCUUACCCGAUCUCAUCUGACCAGACCUCAUCUCAUCAUAAGGCCCUGAUGAGUGACCAGACAAUUCACAGUAAAGAACGAGAUGCAGAUGCAGGGUCUGCAGUUGAUGUUGAAAGGUCUACAUCCCCCUCACUCAGCUAUUGGUCAAUGGAAAGUGACGACUCCUUGAAAAGGAUCAUCAAAUUUGAACCAAGUAAUGCCUUUGACAGAUCCACCUCCCCUAUCCCAUCUGGUUUGGAUUUGAAGAGUGAAGACUCAAUGGAUAUCAUCGGACGACAUUUUCGUAGAGAGGAACCUAGGGAAGGGAUUGAUGCAAAUAAUACAACAAUACCCAGAAUCAUUGUGAAUGGGCCAGACGAAUGCCCCUUGACUAUCCAUCAAACAAUAUUGGAAAUGGUCCAGGUCUUCUAACUGCUGCCACAGGGGGCCAGAUAGAGAGAUCAGGUUCACCAGAGACCUGCUACUCAUCAAUGCGCAGCACAUCUAUGGAGUCAGUACAAGAAACACAUGAUACUGACAUUGAAAGCGGUAAUCUGAAGCAGGAUCUUGAUCCUUCAGAAACACAAGGAAGAAAUGACAAAGCUAUGAAGGAGGCCCAACAGCAUCUGAAACAGAGAUAUAAAGAGCAGUUUGAGUAUGACUUUGAAGUUCUGGAAAAUCCAGGUGCUCCCA